GUCACUUUGCCGGAGUGGUUAACGGGAUCGCCUGCUAUUCAUAGUUGUUAGCGGUUGUGCUUUGCACGCGAGUGUUCGAAUCGCUCAGGUGACG